AUUGAACGCUGGCGGCAGGCCUAACACAUGCAAGUCGAGCGAGCGGCGGACGGGUGAGUAAUGUAUGGGGAUCUGCCCGAUAGAGGGGGAUAACUACUGGAAACGGUGUCUAAUCCCGCAUACUAUCGGCUGAACCCAUAUGGGGUUAGCUAGUAGGUGGGGUAAAGGCUCACCUAGGCGACGAUCUCUAGCUGGUCUGCGAGGAUGAUCAGCCACACUGGGAAGGAGAAACGGCCCAGACUCCUACGGGAGGCAGCAGUGGGGAAUAUUGCACAAUGGGGGCAAGCCUGAUGCAGCCAUGCCGCGUGUGUGAAGAAGGCCUUAGGGUUGGAAAGGACUUUCAGCGGGGAGGCGUUACCCGCAGAAGAAGCACCGGCUAACUCCGUGCCAGCAGCCGCGGUAAUUC
rnacentral:rRNA from 1 species